UAAAGUUGAUGGCAGUCAACUAGUUAUUAUGAAAGAGAAAAUGGAAAAGGUUUUACAAGAGAAAAAGAUUAUUACUGAAGAUAAUGAGAAACUUAGAGCUACAGUUGCUUAUAAUGAAGUAUAUAUAAUUGAAAUAGAAGAAGAGAAGAAACAAGUAGAGGAAGAGAAA